rnacentral:rRNA from 1 species
CAAUAGCGUAUAUUAAAGUUGUUGCGGUUAAAAAGCUCGUAGUUGGAUUUCUGCUGAGAACGACCGGUCCGCCCUUUGGGUGUGUAUCUGGCUCUUUCUUGGCAUCUUCUUGGUGAACGUUGCUGCACUUGACUGUGUGGGGCGCUACCCAGGACUUUUACUUUGAGGAAAUUAGAGUGUUUCAAGCAGGCAUACGCCUUGAAUACAUUAGCAUGGAAUAAUAAGAUAGGACCUCGGUUCUAUUUUGUUGGUUUCUAGAGCUGAGGUAAUGAUUAAUAGGGAUAGUUGGGGGCAUUCGUAUUUAACUGUCAGAGGUGAAAUUCUUGGAUUUGUUAAAGACGGACUACUGCGAAANCANNNGCCAAGGAUGUUUUCAUNGA